UAAAACCGGCUGCAAACCCUCAAAACGUGGCCAGGACUUCCUACUCUGCUGGAGAAGGAUUGAUGAAUGAGCAGAGUGUGUUGAGCUUAGAUUGUCCUCAGGCAGGGGGAAUGUGGAUUGUUCUCGUAUCUACUUAAAGAGUCUCUUUGAGCAGCUAAAGCAGCCUUAGUAACAAAUACUCCAAGACAGAACUCAAUGUGCUCAAACAUAAGGAACAAGAGGAAAGAGAAACAAUGAAUACAUUAUAGGCAAGGCUCUCAGACACGGACAAAUAAAGAAAGCAGCAAUCUUCUUGGAGCUAAAAAGAAAAGGGGGUUUGCUGUGAGGAGAAAGAAAAGCAUCCCUGAACGAGAAACAUUUUCCCAGCUGUGAGCUCAGGAGGUGUGGGGUUGGGGAGGAGGAACAGAGGGUACCGGGUAUCGGGGAGAGAACAUGGUUUACAGACCUUACCAUCAGAACCUCGAUUCAUAAAACAAAGCAAUCCACGUAGGGGACCUGCUUAACUUCACCUGUUGGAGAUGAUUUGCAUUUUCAAAUUGAAAACGGAUAAUCAAUGCCUAGAUACUUAAUUUAUUAAUGUGGCAGUUCCUAGAGCUCAAAGAAGCAUAACUCCAUGUCUAAGGAAUUUAUCUAUUUGAGGAAGAAAGAAAAAUCACAAAAAAAUGCCCAAGAAUUUUAGAGGAAGUAAAAGAAUGAAUCAACACCGAAGAGUCGGAAAAUGGUGCUCAGCCACCGUGAGGGCGUCUAGCUGUGUUCUGCUGCCUCCCUGGACUUCUGAGUCUCAGCCUCCUCAUAAAGGUCUUAAAAAUCAACGACCAAGUCAAACAAGCAAAUAAAUCCAAACAAAACAAAAGCCCUUAGGGAAAGUCCCCCAAAUCAGCUUGCUGCCUGGCCCUUGCGUCUGGACGUGCGCUAGAGGCUGUGGUCUUCUGAGAAAGACAGACCGCAACUCUUCAGACUGCAUUGGGAACGCAGCGAGGAUUCUCACCGUCUGUUGUCCUGUAAACGCUACCCUUGGGCCACUAAACCUCAAGGCGGUCUCUUUAUAAAACGGGAAUUGUGAGUUUUAAGAUUUUAUACAGCAUGUCUAUGCACUGUCUCCCUCCAUCUCCUUUCCAUUCUGUCUUUAUAAUUUGGGGCAACAGUAAAUUUGUAUCUUCUUUUGUAGUCUGAUGCCCAAGUAAUACAACUAACCAAUGUGGAGCCAGAUGAAACUCCAGGUAUCCAGGAAAGUACUAAGUGUGUGUAAUCGGAGGCUAGCAGCAGUGGUCAUCUCUGAGGAGGCUCACACAAGGCCCUUCAGUGAGGUUUAUUGGAAG